UUUUUCAACGUUUUUGAGGCUUUCUCCUACGAUGACUAAGGAACUUUUUGGGGGUCUUUAUGAGGCCCAAACUGUUAGUGAGAAAGCUGUAAGAGACAUGCGAUAAUACAGUCAACAUAUUUGACUUUUUCUCUUAAAUAAAAGCACGUUAACCCUCCUAAACAUGUCAGGUC